rnacentral:rRNA from 1 species
AUGAUAUAUUAUUUAAUCGUGGAAAUGCCAUGUCAGGUGCACCUAUCAGAAUCAGAACAAACCAAUUACCACAUCCACCUAUCAUCACUGGCAUAA